UUCGUGUCGCUACGUGUCACUACGUCUACGCACACGUCAUUGCUAGCUACUAUGAUCCUGCAUUUACAUCAGUGGCCUUGAUUCCUUUCUGUUGAACUAUCAGGGUAAGUGAAGGAAGGGGGUUUGGAGGGGGUUAAAACAGAUGCACAGAAUCCCCAUUCAUUUACCCUUCGUCUUCCAGCUCUAAACUGAAUUCUCUUCUUGAGUUUUCUGCUGUGGUUUGGAAAAUGUUGUGUGUGUUUGUGUCAGAGAAAGAGACUUUAAAGAGACAGAGCUCUUAAAACGAUUUAUAUAUUCACAUAUAAACAGUUAACUGGUGUCUGUUAAAUUGUGUCUUAACUCUUCUUAUUGGUGCUUUUCCAGAGCAUGGUACAUACAAUACUCUCUCUACUCACUAUUUAAUACCUGGUACUUUGUGUAUUUUUCAUUAACACAGCAUAUCUCUCUAAAUCAUGGCAGGAUAUUCUUAAUGCACUGAAGCUUCAGAGCUACAGCGCAUUAACAAUAGAGACUGCUAAAAAAAGAUGGAUUUCAUCACUCUGCAAGAUUUAUAUACCAUGGUUUAGUCCUUAUUUGGGGCUCAGUUCCUGGUACCAAAUUUGCUUUAUAGAAAUGAAAAAAAAAGCAGAGUUAAGUAGAUUUGAGUAUCAAGAUGCCGGCGCUCAGAGGGAGCAAAAUUGGCCCUGCUCCCUCCGGGUGGGUAGGUGGCGCUCUCUCCCCACAUCACUCCUAGGGUGAUGUCCACAGCACAGAGCGUCUGUGAGCGGAUGUAUCAGAACCGAGUUGAUGUGCUUUCCUCCAAGCGCUCUGGCUGCUCGGCAAUGCUGCAUCAGCAGCAGUUUGAAAAGAAGCGGUGGCAGGCUUCAUAUGUAUCGGAGGAAGCAUGUGCUAGUCUACACCCUCCUGGUGUGUUGGGGCAUCACUAGUGAUAGGGGUCCUAGUGAGUGGGUAAUUGGCUUUGUAAAUUGGGGAGAAAAUGAAAAUAGGAUAAAAAUUAGACAUAUAUUUAAAACUACAAUAUAGACUUUGCAUUGAGUUGAUGCAGAAUCAUAAAUCCGCCUGCAGUUCAUGUGCUUCUCCUUUCACUUCUAGUGACGGUUCUGCAUCUAUCAGCUUGUCCAGAAAAGCGUGUCCUGUAGUUGUGGCCUAAAGUGCAGAUUACACCUCCUAACUGUAGGGGGAGGCCUGAAGCAAGAAUUACCCAUUUAAAAAAAAAAAGCAAUAGUGUUGCUUUAAGAAUGUUAUUCCACACUUAUUGAGUAAAUGUAAGUAAUUUUAGUCAUUCUACAAAGAUACAAACAAACUAAAAGUGUCAAUAAGUAUGCGCUUUCAUUUUGAUCAAAUAUUAAAAUCCAGAAAUUGUUGGUAAUUUUGCCCUUUUCUGUUAGUCUUUUGUAUAUCUCUCUAGUAAAAGCUCUCCCUGCUCUAGAUAUUUCUAUUUUAACUCUGUAAAAUGCCAAUGUGACCUGAUUCUACUGUCUACUGUGACCUGGGCAAACAGUUUGCCAAUCAGAAGGCCAGUGACAAAGAGCUAUUAUGUGGAGGAGAAAAUGGAGGAUAAUAAUGAUGAUUAUGAGGAUGAUGAUGAUGAUGAUGAUGAUGAUGUUGAGUAUGAUGAUAUAGUAGAGGUGUUUAGGAGAGUGUUGCAAUAUACGUACUUACUUUUUGCCUUUUAAUAUUGUCUUUUUUUAAGAAAAAAACUUAGAUUAAACAUGCGUUUUUAUUGUUAUUGUUGCUUUUUUUAAAAAAGUAUUUUAGCUUGCUUAUACUGAAAGAGAAGGUCGAUAUGCAUAAAUCACAGAUGCUUAUCCGCUGAGUUUGCUUUUCAGUUAUCUGAUUUGCUUUGUUCUGUUUUAUACCUGCAGAUCCACUGUCAGGUGGAACAGAAUUCCUUUUUUUUUAAAGAAAAUACUGGGUAGUGAAAAAAGUAUUUUGUUAAUUCUAGUUCAUUUUAGGUCUAAUUUAAGGUUUAGGUUGAGUUUAGAAUAUUUGAUGAUGUUAAAAUGUUCUGUUAAUCUUAAAUUAAGCAAAAAUUCACUUUAAUGAAAAUGAAAUCUUUCUUUUAUAUCUCAUGUAAAUUGUGAUGUGUGCCUUGGAGUAGUCUGUAUGAUUGCUUUCCAUUCUGUUUGUUGCUUUCUCAUAUGAGUGACUGCCUUUUCCAUUUAAAUACAAUACCAAAAAAUAAUUUGUAAUUAGGCCUGUCAUGAUAACCAGUAUUUUAGAUAUCAUAAAUAAUAAAUAUUGUACUUUUUUAAAAUAUUUUGCUCUU
ensembl:lncRNA